rnacentral:rRNA from 1 species
GACAGAGGUGCCAAGCGUUGUCCGGAAUCAUUGGGCGUAAAGCGCGCGUAGGUGGCCUCAUAAGUCCGCUGUGAAAGUCAAAGGCUCAACCUUUGAAAGCCGGUGGAUACUGUGAGGCUAGAGUACGGAAGAGGCGAGUGGAAUUCCUGGUGUAGCGGUGGAAUGCGCAGAUAUCAGGAGGAACACCAAUAGCGAAGGCAGCUCGCUGGGACGUUACUGACACUGAGGCGCGAAAGCGUGGGGAGCGAACAGG